CGGUCCUAAGGUAGCGAAAUUCCUUGUCGGGUAAGUUCCGACCUGCACGAAUGGCGUAAUGAUGGCCAGGCUGUCUCCACCCGAGACUCAGUGAAAUUGAACUCGCUGUGAAGAUGCAGUGUACCCGCGGCAAGACGGAAAGACCCCGUGAACCUUUACUAUAGCUUGACACUGAACAUUGAGCCUUGAUGUGUAGGAUAGGUGGGAGGCUUUGAAGUGUGGACGCCAGUCUGCAUGGAGCCGACCUUGAAAUACCACCCUUUAAUGUUUGAUGUUCUAACGUUGGCCCCUAAUCGGGGUUGCGGACAGUGUCUGGUGGGUAGUUUGACUGGGGCGGUCUCCUCCUAAAGAGUAACGGAGGAGCACGAAGGUUGGCUAAUCCUGGUCGGACAUCAGGAGGUUAGUGCAAUGGCAUAAGCCAGCUUGACUGCGAGCGUGACGGCGCGAGCAGGUGCGAAAGCAGGUCAUAGUGAUCCGGUGGUUCUGAAUGGAAGGGCCAUCGCUCAACGGAUAAAAGGUACUCCGGGGAUAACAGGCUGAUACCGCCCAAGAGUUCAUAUCGACGGCGGUGUUUGGCACCUCGAUGUCGGCUCAUCACAUCCUGGGGCUGAAGUAGGUCCCAAGGGUAUGGCUGUUCGCCAUUUAAAGUGGUACGCGAGCUGGGUUUAGAACGUCGUGAGACAGUUCGGUCCCUAUCUGCCGUGGGCGCUGGAGAACUGAGGGGGGCUGCUCCUAGUACGAGAGGACCGGAGUGGACGCAUCACUGGUGUUCGGGUUGUCAUGCCAAUGGCACUGCCCGGUAGCUAAAUGCGGAAGAGAUAAGUGCUGAAAGCAUCUAAGCACGAAACUUGCCCCGAGAUGAGUUCUCCCUGACUCCCUGAGAGUCCUGAAGGA
rnacentral:rRNA from 1 species